UACUCGAGUGGCGAACGGGUGAGUAACACGUGGGUGGUCUGCCCUGCACUUCGGGAUAAGCUUGGGAAACUGGGUCUAAUACCGGAUAGGAGCCAUCUUUAGUGUGGUGGUUGGAAAGUUUUUUCGGUGUAGGAUGAGCUCGCGGCCUAUCAGCUUGUUGGUGGGGUAAUGGCCUACCAAGGCGGCGACGGGUAGCCGGCCUGAGAGGGUGUACGGCCACAUUGGGACUGAGAUACGGCCCAG
rnacentral:rRNA from 1 species